AAACUUCACCACACUGGUUCUGCUGCUUAAAGCACUCAAAUUGUCCUGUUCUGCAAAUGUAUUCUCAAUGUGGUGGACCCCUCUACACUUUGAAACACCAGAGACCUUGGAGGUUUUAUAACCUGAUCGAUACCUCAUGACAACAAUAUCGAAUUAUUUUGUUUUCACUCACAGAGUGAGAGAGACCGAGAAAGUGCGAGACAGAGCGGCGGAAAUGACAGUUGUAUGAAAGUUAGGGGCUUUAGAACUCCGAGAGUUGUGUAAAGUUGUGCUCUCCUUGUAGAAGAGAAGCGUGCUGUCUGCUAAUUUUCACUUCGUCUGUGUAGUUGUUUCAUCCGCCUUAUCAUGAGAUCCUUUGACUCCGUGGACAGCAGAAAGGACUACUUUUAUGUCAAAGCAGACCAACCCACCUGAAUGCUAGAAAGAUGCAGGAGGAUGAUUUUCUAUACCUGACACGUCCUGCAGAGUUUUGUGCAGAACAAAUAUUCAUCAGAGAUUCCUCAAGAGUCGGGAUCGAGCCUGGAUUUCACACACUCGUAGAAAAGGAGACCUUGGAGGACGAGUGAGAGUGACUGGGAGUGCCAAAAUGCCGGAAUUUGUUCUCUGUUAUGUAACAGGAUUGCACUCACACUAUCAGCAUAACAGUGUAUCCUGGUGAGCCAUUAGAUCAAGUCAACAGAGGCAGAGGGAAUUUGAGAAUCAGGCAAUUUCAUUAAAUAGAAAUGUUUAAACACAUAAGAAGACACCGUGAUGUUUGAAAAAUCCUUUCCACAUAAAUAAUAAUAAUACACAGGCUCUAUACCUAACACAUUACAAUAGCGCAUAGAAAGACAUUCAAGUGAUUGUGUUCUUUUUGUGUAACCUAGUAAAUAUGCUAUUUCUCCAGCUGCCUACUGUCUGCUUGUCCUGUGUGAAUUGUGCCAGCAUUGCAGGUCUGUAAACACAUGCCAUGCCACAGUGGCACCAUCUUGUGGUAUUCUUGCGUUUUCUUUUCCAUUGUUGACUAUGUAAACAUCUACUAUAAAUAGGCAGUCUUAGUAUAUGUGCCUUUUUCAUUUGCAUCUGUAAUAAUUGCAAUUAUAAGAGACAACAGUCUAUGUCAGUACUGCUGGUAAAGAUAUUUUAAUACAUGUGUAUCCUCAACCAUUGAUUUUUUAAUAAUAAAAAAUGAUGUUCAAAGUCAA